AACUGCGAGUGAAGCGGGAAAAGCUCAAAUUUAAAAUCUGGCGGUCUCUGGCCGUCCGAGUUGUAAUUUAGAGAAGCGUCUUCCGCGCCGGGCCGUGCACAAGUCUCCUGGAAUGGAGCGUCAUAGAGGGUGAGAAUCCCGUCUUUGGCACGGAYGCCUGUGCUUCUGUGAUGCGCUCUCGAAGAGUCGAGUUGUUUGGGAAUGCAGCUCAAAAUGGGUGGUGAACUCCAUCUAAAGCUAAAUAUUGGCGAGAGACCGAUAGCGAACAAGUACCGUGAGGGAAAGAUGAAAAGCACUUUGGAAAGAGAGUGAAACAGUACGUGAAAUUGUUGAAAGGGAAACGCUUGAAGUCAGUCGCGUCGACCGAGACUCAGCCUUGCCUUGGCUUGGUGUACUUCUCGGCUCGACGGGUCAGCAUCAAUUUUGCCCCUCGGAUAAUGGCAAGGGAAAGGUGGCACCUACGCGGGUGUGUUAUAGUCUCCUGUCGCAUGCGAGGGGUGGG
rnacentral:rRNA from 1 species